rnacentral:rRNA from 1 species
GUCGAGCGGAUGAGGAGAGCUUGCUCUCUGAUUUUAGCGGCGGACGGGUGAGUAACACGUGGGCAACCUGCCCUACAGAUGGGGAUAACUCCGGGAAACCGGGGCUAAUACCGAAUAAUCAGUUUGUCCGCAUGGACAAACUCUGAAAGACGGUUUCGGCUGUCACUGUAGGAUGGGCCCGCGGCGCAUUAGCUAGUUGGUGGGGUAAUGGCCUACCAAGGCGACGAUGCGUAGCCGACCUGAGAGGGUGAUCGGCCACACUGGGACUGAGACACGGCCCAGACUCCUACGGGAGGCAGCAGUAGGGAAUCUUCCACAAUGGACGAAAGUCUGAUGGAGCAAUGCCGCGUGAGCGAAGAAGGUUUUCGGAUCGUAAAGCUCUGUUGUAAGGGAAGAACAAGUACGGGAGUAACUGCCCGUGCCAUGACGGUACCUUAUUAGAAAGCCACGGCUAACUACGUGCCAGCAGCCGCGGUAAUACGUAGGUGGCAAGCGUUGUCCGGAAUUAUUGGGCGUAAAGCGCGCGCAGGCGGUUCUUUAAGUCUGAUGUGAAAGCCCACGGCUCAACCGUGGAGGGUCAUUGGAAACUGGAGAACUUGAGUACAGAAGAGGAAAGCGGAAUUCCACGUGUAGCGGUGAAAUGCGUAGAGAUGUGGAGGAACACCAGUGGCGAAGGCGGCUUUCUGGUCUGUAACUGACGCU